rnacentral:rRNA from 1 species
GCAACUCGACUACAUGAAGCUGGAAUCGCUAGUAAUCGCGAAUCAGAAUGUCGCGGUGAAUACGUUCCCGGGUCUUGUACACACCGCCCGUCACACCAUGGGAGUCGGGAAUGCCCGAAGUCAGUGACCCAACCGGAAGGAGGGAGCUGCCGAAGGCAGGCUCGAUAACUGGGGUGAAGUCGUAACAAGGUACC